GACAGAGGUGCCGAGCGUUAGGCGGAAUCACUGGGCUUAAAGCGUGUGUAGGCGGGCGGGCAAGUACCUUGUGAAAUCCCACGGCUCAACCGUGGAACGGCUGGGUAUACUGCCUGUCUUGAGCCAACUAGGGGCGAGCGGAACAGACGGUGGAGCGGUGAAAUGCGUAGAUAUCGUCUGGAACGCCGAAGGUGAAAACAGCUCGCUGGGGUUGUGCUGACGCUGAGGCACGAAGGUCAGGGGAGCAAACGGG
rnacentral:rRNA from 1 species